rnacentral:tRNA from 1 species
GACCGCGUAACUCAGUAGGCAGAGCAUUGGGCUAGUAUUCCAAAGGUCGUAGGUUCGAUUCCCACCGUGGCCA